CCCUCACCAACGGUUUUUAGGAGACCGGAUACCCGGUGGGCGAAGCACCUUCCGUUGUCGUGGCGGCGCUGGUCCCGCGGUGGGGUGGCCGACCCGCCCCUGUGCCCGCCCCGGCGCGUUCCCUCCGCCGGCGCCGCCGCCGCACCGAAACGCGAGUCCUUCCACGCGGUAGUUGCUUUGGCCUUGCACCCAAGACUGAAAGCUCCUUGAUGACAAAAGAUUGCAUCUGUCUUGUUCAUCACUGUGUUCCCAGUAUCUGGCAUAUAAUAUGCCGAAAGGUAUACAUAACCUUCAGCAGCAGUUUUUUUGAAUCAAACCUCAGCUCUUCAUUCUCAUCCAUUCCUCACAUCUGGUCUGUUCUUUUUCCUCUUUCAAAUAAAAACUGAAAAAAGAAGUUCUCUUCUCUGUCUCAUUCCCCUAGCCUCCUUUUUUCUUGAAAAGUGGGGUGAUAGAAAAAGGCAGAGUGACAGAGGUUGUCAUCCUUCACUUACCAGAUGCUCACAAUAGCCAGAAAUGGGCCAGGCUGAAGCCGGGAGCUAGGAACUCUAUCCAGAUCUCCCAUGUGGGUGGCAGGGAACCAAGCACUUGAACCAUCUUCUGCUGUCUUCCCAGCUCAUCAGCUGGACUCACACCAGGCACUCUAAUGUAGCAGGGAUCCUAAGAGGUGGCUUAACUUGCUGUACCACAGAGCCAGCCCUUCCCUUUUUUAGUCUCUGUUGCUAUAGCUCAUAGGACCCACUUUGGAGCAGGCAGGAGAGAAUACUUGUAAGUGAGCUGACAUAGGAUACUCGUGUAUGCUUUACUUCCCCUUGGUUAAUUUUGGCAGAUAGCCCCUCUCCAGUAAAAAUGUCCAAUAUUUAAUGUGCUUUUCCUCCUCCCCAUAAACUGCCUCUGGGACCUCACUUGAGAAUAUAUAAAUUGGUAAGAAAAAAAUGAGCUCUAUAGUAGAAAAGGGAGUUGACUAAGCUGAGGGAACUCAUAAACAAAGGAAUAGAUCAUUAAUGAGCUCUUCCCACUAAAAGUCCUCCCUUAUUGCUAUUUGAGAAACUGCAAAACUUUUCGAAAGAUUUGUUUAUUUACUUAUUUGAAAGGCAGAGUGACACGGAGGAGAGACAGAGAAAGGUCUUCCAUCCACUGUCACUCCUAGAUGGCUGCAAUAGCCAUGUCUGGGCCAGGCUGAAGUUAGUAGACAGAAGUACCAUCUGGGUCUCCCACGUGGAUACAGGCACCCAAGCACUUGGGCCAUCUUCUGCUGCCUUCUCAGGUGCAUUAGCAGGGAGCUGGAUUGGAAGUGGAGUAGCUGGGACUUGAACCUGUGCUUUGAUAUGGGAUGUGGCUUCAGAAAUGAUGGCCUAACCUGCUGUGCUGCAACACUAGCCCACAAAUAUUUUUGCCUCUCAAACUAACAAAGUAAAAUACUGAAUUAAUUAAAAUGCCCGGGGAUCGGCCUGUGGCACAGCAGGUUAAAGCCCUGGCCUGAAGCGCUGGCAUCCCAUGUGGGCACCGAUUCUAGUCCUAGCUGCUCCACUUUCGAUCCAGCUCUCUGCUAUGGACUGGGAAAGCAGUGGAAGAUGGCCCAAGUGCUUGGGCCCCUGCACCUGCGUGGGAGACCUGGAAGAAGACCCUGGUUCCUGGCUUUAGAUCGGCACAGCUCCGACCGUUGCGACCAUCUGGGGAGUGAACCAGUGGAUGAAAGACCUUUCUCUCUCCCUCUGCCUCUCCUUCUCUAUCUGUGUAAUUCUGCCUUUCAAAUAAAUAAAUCUUUUUAAAAAAAUUAAAAAAUGCUCACGGUGCUGUGGCUUAGUGGGUAAAGCCGGCAUCCCAUAUGGGCACCAGUUCUAGUCCUGGCUGCUCUGUUUCUGAUCCAGCUCUCUGCUAUGGCCUGGGAAAGCAGUAGAAGAUGGCCCAAGUGCUUUGGCCCCUGCAACCACGUGGGAGACCCAGAAGAAGCUCCUGGCUUCAGAUUGGUGCAGCUCUGGCCGUUGCGACCAACUGGGGAGUGAACCAGGAGAUGGAAGACCUUUGUUUCUCUCUCUCUGCCUCUCCUUCUCUGUAUAAUGCUGACUGUCAAGUAUAUAAAUAAAUAUUUAAAAAUAAAUUUUAAAGAAGUGCCCGGUGUUGGAGUAGGUUCAAAAAAUGAAUGAUCACAUGACUCAGCAGUACUACUUGUAAAUACAUACCCCAGAGAAGUGAAAACAUAUGUUCCCACACACAAAAAACUUGUAUAUAAAUAUUCAUGGCAGCAUUAUUCAUAUUAAUAGUAAAAAUGAAAGCUACCUGAAUCUUCAACUGAUAAAUAAAUAGAAAAGUAAGAUGCAUCAUAUUCUUUUUCUUAAAAAUAGAUCUUUAUUUAUUUGUUUUGAAAGUCAGAGUUCACACAGAGAGGUAUCUUCCAUCUGUUUGUUCACUCACCCAGGUGACUGCAGUGGCUCCCGCUGGGCCAGGCUCAAGCCGGGAGCUUUAUGCAGGUUUCCCACAUGGGUGGCAGGAGCCCUAACACUUGGGCCAUCCUCUUCUGCUUUCUGAGGCUGUUAGCAAGAAGCCCAGUCAGAAGCAGAGCAGCGGGGACUUGUACUGGCACCCUUAUAGGAUACCAGUGCUGCAGGUGGCAGCUUUACCUGCUUUGCCAUAGAGUCAGCCCCAUGGUAUAUUAUUACCAUGGAAUAUUAUUCAUCAAUAAAAAAGGAACAAAAUACUGAUAAAUGUUGUUGUAUAGGUGAACCUUGAAAACAUUGUUAAAUGAGCCAUUCACAAGACAACAUAUUUUAGGAUUCUAUACAUAACAGGCAGAUCUAUAAAGACCAAAAGCUGAUUAGUGAUUGGGGUUGGGAAUUGUGGGGAAAUAGGAAUGACUGUGGGUAAGGGGUUUCUUUUUUUGGGGUGAUGAAUAUGUUCCAAAAUUGAUUAUGAUAAUGGUGGUAUAACUUGAUAAAUAUACUAAAAACCAUUGACUCAUAUAUUCUCAAUGGAUGAAUUGUGUGCUAUGUAGAUUAUAACUCCAUAAAGCUAUUAUAGAGUUAGUGGUGGAGUUUGUUAAAUGAAGACCUUUUUUUGGAGAAAAUCAAAACAGCUUACUUUAAUAUGCCCAGCCAGGAGCCAGACUCAGUAAAGGUCUCCCAUGUGGGUGGCAGGAACCCAAUUACCUGAGCCAUGAUCUUUGCCUUCCAGGUUCUGCAUUAGCAGGAAGCUGGAAUCAGGAGGUGGAGGCAGGAGUCUGUCUAACCCGGGCACACUGCUGUGGGAUGUGGAUGUCUUAACUGCUAGGCUAAAUGCCUGCUCUGUGAGAUGCAUUUUGAGGAUGCAUCAGAUUUCUUUCUGGAAUGAGAUGGUUGGAUUUGAUCACUGGCUGGAAUAGGAGAAACACAUUUAGACUGAUAAAACAGAGGGGUUUUGUUUUUAAGAUUUAUUUAUUUGAAAGAGUGACAGGGAGAGCUUCCAUCUGCUGCUUCACUCCUGAAAUGGCUGCAACGGCCAGGGGAGGGGCCAGGCCAAAGCCCGGAACCUGGAACGCCAUCUAGGUUUCCCAUGUGGGUGCACUUGGGCCUUUGUCUUCUGCUUUCCCAGGUACAUUAGCAGAGAGCUGGAUCAAAAGUGGAACAGCUGAGGGGCCGGCGCAGUGGCUCACUUGGUUAAUCCUCUGCCUGCGGUGCUGGCAUCCCAAAUGGGCACCGGGUUCUAGUCUCAGUUGCUUCUCUUCCAGUCCAGCUCUCUGCUGUGGCCCAGGAAAGCAGUGGAGGAUGGCCCAAGUGCUUGGGCCCCUGCACCCGCAUGGGAGACCAGGAGGAGGUGCCUGGCUCCUGGCUUCGGAUCGACUGCGCCGGCCGUAGCAGCCAUUUGGAGGGUAAACCAACGGAAGGAAGACCUUUCUUUCUUUCUUUCUUUCUUUCUUUCUUUCUUUCUUUCUUUCUUUCUUUCUUUCUUUCUCUCUCUCUCUCUCUCUCUCUCUCUCUCUCUCUCUCUCACUGUCUAACUCUGCCUAAUAAAAUUAAAAAAAAAAAAGUGGAACAGCUGGGACUUGAACCAGUGCUCAUUUGGGAUGCUGGCAUCGCAGGCUGUGGCUUAACUCACUGUACCACAAUGUGGGCCCCCAUAAGAUUUAUUUAUUUAUUUAUUUGAAAGGCAGAGUUAUUGAAAGAGAAGGAAAGAGAGAGAGAGAGAGAGAGAGAGAGAGAGAGAAAUAUCUUCCAUCUACUGGUUCACUCCCCAAAUGG